AGUGAACGCUGGCGGUAGGCCUAACACAUGCAAGUCGAACGGCAGCACAGUAAGAGCUUGCUCUUACGGGUGGCGAGUGGCGGACGGGUGAGGAAUACAUCGGAAUCUACCUUUUCGUGGGGGAUAACGUAGGGAAACUUACGCUAAUACCGCAUACGACCUACGGGUGAAAGCAGGGGAUCUUCGGACCUUGCGCGAUUGAAUGAGCCGAUGUCGGAUUAGCUAGUUGGCGGGGUAAAGGCCCACCAAGGCGACGAUCCGUAGCUGGUCUGAGAGGAUGAUCAGCCACACUGGAACUGAGACACGGCCCAGACUCCUACGGGAGGCAGCAGUGGGGAAUAUUGGACAAUGGGCGCAAGCCUGAUCCAGCCAUACCGCGUGGGUGAAGAAGGCCUUCGGGUUGUAAAGCCCUUUUGUUGGGAAAGAAAAGCAGCAGGUUAAUACCCCGCUGUUCUGACGGUACCCAAAGAAUAAGCACCGGCUAACUUCGUG
rnacentral:rRNA from 1 species